UGACAUGUGAAUCCAAACUUCUCUGGUUCUUAUACUCACCUUCAAAUUCCAAAGAACUCGUGAACUGAACUUUAAUUAUAUUUUGGUUGGCUGCGGCUUUUGUGCGUGUUCUUCUCAACAAUUAUUUCUCUCUGUGUCUGCUUCCUCAGCUUGCAAGAUAAAAGUACAAAAACCAACGAAUGGGUAUUGUCUCAGUGUUAAUAUUUCUUCUACUUUUCUUACUUCUGUGGAGCUCAGGCAUUGUUCUUGGUGAUUUCCCAACGACCCUUCAAGGACCCUUCAAGCCUGUGACUGCCCCUCUUGACAAGAAGGCGUACCGUGGAAAUGCCAUUGACUUGCCUGAUACUUACCCUCAAGUUCAAAAGAAUGUUGAGGGUUUUGAGCCUCAACAAAUCUCAGUCUCCCUCUCUUCAAAUUAUGACUCUGUCUGGAUCUCUUGGGUCACAGGGGAUUUCCAAAUUGGUGAUGACAUAACGCCAUUAGAUCCUGAAUCAGUUUCUAGUGUUGUUCAGUAUGGAAUCUCAGGGUCGCCAAUGAGUUAUCAGGCAAUUGGUUAUUCUCUUGUUUAUAAUCAACUUUAUACUUUUGAAGGGGCACAAAAUUACACUUCCGGCAUUAUACACCAUGUUCGCCUUACAGGACUGGAACCGGGAACAUUGUAUCAAUAUCAAUGCGGAGAUCCUUCUAUACCAGCAACGAGUGAUAUCUUUUAUUUUAGAACCAUGCCAGUCUCCAGUCCAACAGAUUACCCCGGCAGAAUAGCUAUGGUGGGAGACCUAGGUCUUACUUACAAUACAAGUACAACAUUCAGUCACUUGCUCAGUAAUCAUCCUGAUCUACUCGUUUUGGUUGGGGGUGUUAGUUAUGCUGACAUGUAUCUCACCAAUGGAACCGGGUCUGAUUGUUACUCUUGCUCAUUUCCUCAAACUUCCAUCCAUGAAUCAUAUCAGCUGCGUUGGGAUUGUUGGGGAAGGUUAAAUUCCAACAUUUAACAGUUUCAAACUUGUCCUGCUAGUUUCCAUCCUAUUUAGUGCUCAAAAUUCACUCACUUGGACAAAGUAGUUUUGUAUAUUUCUUUAUUCUUACAGCUAUACCGCUUCAGUUGUUUUAGCAAGAAAGGUAAAAAGCUAGAUGAAGCUCAAAUUCUCAAACUGAAAUUGUAAUUUUUGUUAUGAACCAAAAUUCUUAUUAGAACUUAAAAGACCAUUCUGCUUAGGGAUUAGUGGUUUAUACUUCAAACUGAUGUUUAGGAAUUUAAAAGGAGGUACAUGCAGAAUGACCUUAGGUGCAUGACUUCAGGUGCAUAAAAAAAACUUUAGUUAAAUUGGUUCCAUAACACUAAGACAAACAACAAGGAACAAGACAGUUUGUUGGAAACCACCUACAUAAGCUGAUGGAAAUGUAAAACAUUACAGGUGCUGGCAAUUGCAAGCAAAUAACUUCAUCCUAUUAAACGAAGCAUUCUGAUCAACAUUUAUUGUGGCUCUCAAGCUCAUAGAAUUAUGCAUAUUGUUUCCAGGUUUAUGCAGCCUCUGCUGGCUAAUGUUCCAACAAUGAUGGUUGGAGGGAAGCAUGAAAUAGAAGAACAGGCUGAAGAUGAGAUAUUUGUUGCUUACAGUUCUCGAUUUGCUUUCCCAUCUGAUGAAAGUGGGUCAUUCUCCACAUUGUACUAUUCUUUCAAUGCUGGGGGUAUACAUUUUGUGAUGCUCAGCCCGUACAUUUACUAUGUCAGAUCAUGUAAACUCGUCAACACACCCUCGUAUCAUUCUAUUUUGGAUUUCAAUUAUGUGUAUGAUCACUUCUGAACAUUUGGCAUUUCCUUUCCAUCUCGGUAUCACCUUUUUUCUAUACUCAUUGUCAUCCGUGGUAGUAGUAGAAUUUCUUUUCUGCUGGUCAUAAUUCUCUAUAUUUUCUGUCACAGCUGAUCAAUAUGAGUGGUUGGAAGACGACCUCUAUAAUGUUGACAGGAAUGUGACUCCUUGGUUGGUGGCUGCUUGGUAUGCUCCUUGGUACAGCACCUUCAAGGCCCAUUAUAGAGAAGCAGAAUGUAUGAGAGUGGAAAUGGAGGAACUGCUUUAUGAGUAUGGCGUUGACAUUGUCUUCAAUGGACAUGUACAUGCAUACGAGAGGUCAAACAGAGUAUACAACUAUUCUUUAAAUCCAUGUGGUCCAGUUUAUAUUACAUUGGGUGAUGGUGGUAGUCGGGAAGCAAUGGCAAUUGCCCAUGCUGAUGAUCCUGGUAAUUGUCCAGAGCCAUCCACUACGCCAGACGAAUAUAUUGGUGGCUUCUGUGCAUUUAAUUUUACAUCAGGCCCAGCUUCCGGUAAUUUUUGCUGGGACCAACAGCCUGAGUAUAGUGCAUACAGAGAAAGCAGCUUUGGUCAUGGGAUACUAGAGGUGAAAAAUGAGACUCAUGCUUUGUGGAGUUGGCACCGGAAUCAGGACUCUUAUCAAAUUGCUGGUGACAUCAUCUACAUUGUAAGAGAACCUGAUCGGUGUCUGCCUGUCUGAUGUCCAAAGUGAUUAAACACAUUUUUUUGAGGGUUAGCAGUAGCUAAAUGCUAGGUGUUGUUGAGAACAGCAAUCAAUGAAACCUUCAUACAGCCUUACAACUUAAGCCGCCUUAUAGACCAACAUAUCAUCGGCUUUUUAGGGGCAAACAUUCCCCUGUAGCUUUCCACGUUUUGUACUAGUAUUACUGUUAGCCUCAAGUCAUCUCCAAGAUUACAUCUCCAAGUUAUUGAAAUUUGUUAAAUAGAUCUCCAUAUCAAUUAGUUCCUCGCAACAUGCCUUCCCCUUAAGUUAAAUUCAGCAACAUUCAUACUCCUUGCCAUUAAUAAUAUAGUUACAAGAAUCAGGUUGAACAAUUGAAUUGAAUAUGUGGACCUACAAGGAUUGAACUAAAAUACAAGUGCAGCUAUCCACAACCCCUUGCCGACUAAAUGAUAGCAAGUCUCUAUACCAGCCAAUUUGAAGCUUGCCGAGAAUAGCUUCCAAAUACAAUAAAGCAGAAAAUGAAAGAUCAAAUACUAUGCCGGGAAGCUACAUGGUAGCAACAAAAGAGGACUCCAACUUCUAGCAAAACUGUAUAAGCAUUUUUUCUUCAGAUGAGGGCAAUGUGGCUCUUGCUUCAGCUGACAUGAAUCAGAACGUAAAUGAGAGAACGAGUAAAAGGGAAAUGGGAAUUAGGAUUGUUGCUGCCAUAAACCCAAUUGAAGCUCUAGAAUUGUCAGUAGGUAGGGGUGGAGUCAUCCCACUUCCAGGAUUCAGUCCAGCAGUACCACCACCAUUUGCUGGUGUAACGGUGGAUGGUGUUGGUGAAUUCGGGUUGGUUGUGGAUGUCGGUGUUGUGCUUGUGGUUGCCCCUCCGGCAGUGCUGGAAAAUUGCAUGAUUCAAGUAUCAUAAGCAACUUUCAACAAGCAAAUGCGUAACAUGGUAUACCCAACAAAAAAAGGAACAAGAAAAAAAAAUUCUCAGACAACAAUCUGCGCACAGAGUAUUUAAUUAGCCCCACCCAGAUGAUCAAAACCAGUUGUAUAUUAUGUCUGUCAGAAGAUCAUAAACACAAAAAAUUGUCCAACAUGGGCAUAACAUAAUUUAGUCAUGGGAGUACAAGUACUAUAUUAUCACACAUGCACAAAGCACAAUCUAGAAAAUCAGUAAAAUAUGCUUGUAAUCAGAAUUUAAUACCUGGCAAUACAAGAUAAAGAAAUAUAUCAGGCUGUAAGAAUAAAUUUGGCAGAAAAAAAAUAGUAGACAUUAGGUUUUAGGACCCAUGUGAAAAUGUAGCCAAGAAUGGUCCUUAAAGUAGAUUCUUUGGAGUGCAAUCUCAUAGCAUGUUCAAACAUUUUCAAUAAUCAUAUCACCUACUUUUUCCUGGGAACAAGUUCUCAUAGCAAUAUACUUUGCUCUUCAAUUCAUGGAGUAAAAAACAGCUCUUGAUAAUCAAGGAUGAAGCUGAAUGAUGAAGAGCUGUAGUUUUUAUCAAAUCUUCUACAAAAGACAACUGCAGUGCCCAAGUAUGAAUCUCCCCGCUAAUUAUCCAAAAAAUUUGAAGAUGCACGAGUGAAACUUGCUAUUGUGGUUGAAAUGAAUCUACGAACUUUGUGGAUGUGCAUUCUUCUGUUCUAAAAUGCAAAGCAUGUUUGAAGAGCAUCCAAAAAAAAAAAAAAGUAAG
rnacentral:misc_RNA from 1 species